UAAAAUCUCGCUCUCUCUCUCUCUGUCUCUGUCUAUGGUCGCAAAGAGCAACGGCAAAAUACAACUACCACCUAGGCCGUUUAAAAACCCGAACCCGAGUAUCCAAUUCCGGGUCGAACAAAUGUUCGGAGGCUUGUGUUCCUGCCCUUGCUUUGGAGAACGGAGCUCUGACGCGGACGGGUCUGACGUUGAUCCGGUUCUGCUCAUCUCCGGCAUGGGAGGCUCCAUUCUCCACUCCAAGAAGAAGAAGUUCGGGUUCGAGACACGGGUCUGGGUCCGGAUCCUUCUGGCGGACCUCGAGUUCAAAAAGAAGGUCUGGUCUGUCUAUAAUCCUACCACAGGUUAUACAGAAACAUUGGAUGAUGACACUGAAAUUUUGGUCCCUGAUGAUGAUUACGGGCUGUAUGCAAUUGAUAUUUUAGAUCCAUCAUUGGUGAUGAAACUUUUACAUUUCACAGAGGUAUAUCAUUUUCAUGCUAUGAUUGAUAUGCUUGUUAAAUGUGGCUAUAAGAAGGGAACCACAUUAUUUGGAUAUGGUUAUGAUUUCCGGCAAAGCAAUAGAAUUGACAAAUUAAUGGAAGGUCUUAAAACGAAGUUGAAAGCAGCUCACCAAGCUUCUGGUGGUAGAAAAGUCAAUAUAAUCUCGCAUUCAAUGGGCGGGCUGCUAGUGUUGUGUUUCAUGUCACUCCAUAAUGAGGUAUUUUCCAAGUAUGUGAAUAAGUGGAUAUGCAUUGCAUGCCCCUUUCAAGGUGCACCGGGAUGCAUUAAUGAUUCACUCUUAACUGGAUUGCAGUUUGUUGAAGGAUUUGAAAGCUUCUUUUUUGUGUCAAGGUGGACAAUGCACCAGCUGUUGGUUGAGUGCCCAUCAAUAUAUGAGAUGUUGGCAAACCCAGAAUUUAAUUGGAAAAAACAGCCAGAAAUUCAAGUUUGGCGAAAGCACUCCACAGAUGAGGAAACUUCUGUCGAUUUGGAAUCUUAUGGUCCAAUUGAAAGUAUCACUCUGUUUGAAGAAGCAUUGAGGGAUAAUGAGCUUAAUUAUGAUGGAAAAAUGGUAGCUCUGCCUUUUAACUUCGAGAUUCUCAAAUGGGCUGCUGGGACUCGCCAAGUUAUAUAUGAUGCUAAAUUACCGGAUGGGUUCUGCUUCUAUAACAUUUAUGGAACAUCAUUUGACACACCUUUUGACGUUUGCUAUGGCUCAGAAACAUCUCCAAUUGAGGACUUGUCUGAAAUUUGCCACUCAAUGCCCCAGUAUUCUUAUGUUGAUGGAGAUGGAACAGUUCCUGCUGAAUCAGCAAAGGCUGAUGGAUUUGAUGCAGUUGAAAGAGUAGCAGUUGCUGCUAGUCAUCGUGGAGUUUUACAAGACAAAACAGUUUUUAAAUACGUCCAAAAGUGGUUGGGGGUUGAUCAAAAGGUCCGCAAGCAUUCAAAGUCUUCCAGAGUAGUAGAUGCCUCAACUUAGCUCAUGGACUCGCAAUUCUUUAUGCAGAUAGGGGAUGUGUUUCAAAUAGUCACGAUUUAAUGACACAUAACAAGGGUUGUAUUGGCUACAAUCUUACAGCUUGCAUUAUGAUUCCGUAGUGCGACGUAAUUUGGUGGAGGAGGAUUGGGCAUGCAACACAACAUUUGGAUUAAUGGGUGUGCGACGUCGUUUGGUUGAUGAGCCCUUGGCUUGCAACACAGCUUAUGAAGGUUGUUUUGGAGGCAGCAGUAAGUUACUAGCAAGGGACACAUGUCUGACAGGAUUCCAACAAUUUCUAUUAAUUUUUUAUUUUCCAUUUUAAUGCUUUCAAUUAUCUUAAGUUCUAAAGGGAAUUGUUAUCCAUAUAUAAUUAGUAGAAUUAGUGGGGGGAUGGGAUAUCUUUUGUGUAGUUGAAGAUUCUGAAUUGUACUGGACGUUGAACACCUCAAAUAGCUCAUCCCUUUUUAUCAAUGCAAGCUUAUGACUAUAAGAGUCCUUUUCACAAACAUCUUCCAGGCUUCUAUCAUUUACAUUACAACAACCUUCAUUCCAUCUCCCAUUCGUUUCCUUGUUACGUUACAAUAAUUCUCAACAGGUUCCUGACAAUUGGUAUCCAGAGUCGACGAUCUAUGGAGGAUGAAAUAUUUUUCUAGCAGCAAGAAGAAGCCUUACAGUGGCGGAUAGACUCCAAUGAACAGAGUAUUUAGGAACUUAAUAACCACUUGGAUGAAUUGACAGAUAUGUUACUUACCUGGGUGGUAAAGCAGAACAAUAUUCCUAAUCAGUAUGCUCUUAUAAAAAUAUUACUGAGUUUAAAGGUGAGAAAACAAAAACCAGUAGUUGUUGAAGAUUAUAAGGAUGAAGAAGACUCGGCAGCUAGGGAUUCAUCCAAAGAAACACAAAAAUUGGUAUUGUAGGAAGAAAAUGGAACGCAGAUUGAAGUUGAAGUUGCAGAUGAAGGCGUAGAAAAGCCAAUAGCGGUGGAGGGGAGUGUGGUGGUGUCCAUGGAAGUUACUCCCAAAGAAAUCACUUCAUCUAUCCUUAGAAAUCUAAAGCCAAAAUUAAUUUCUGAACAACCAAAAUUUUCUAAAAUGAUUUCCUUCAUCUCCGUGCCUCUUCUCCUUUCCCCAUCACACCCCAUCCAAGAUUAACCUCACCGAGAUGGAGCACUAGAUCAUUAAUGGGGCCAUAAACUAAGUCAUCGCAAACUCCAUCAACAAUGUCUUCGAUGUUAGGAUGUUGAUGGGCUGUAGAUUCCAUGGUGUUUGUGUACGUCUCGUAUGGCACCCUCCAUGGCCAGGAGGCAUUCCCCACUCACUCUCGGUCCAACAACCCCAAAAAUCCUAGACUCUAGCCCUUCAAUUCAAGAACCCCACGUCGUCUUCGUUUACUUCCACCAACCCCCCCCCCCCCAACUCAAACUGGUUCCUUUGGCUUCAAAACCUAGACCAAGCCAAGAUAGAUGAAUAUGCUACUCCAGCCAAGACAGAGGCCGAGGACAUCAUCGCUACCAUUGUGAAGGUCACGAGUGCAGGAGCUAUAUCUGUGAGUGAGAAUCAGGAAGAUUAGGUUUCCUUGGUUGCCAUGCACAGCGAUUCUUGGUGGCUUUCUAUACUUUUCCCUCGGCGUAUGUCUCUAAAAUUGUUUUCGAUGCCAAAGAACAGUUCCAUCAUUGAGAGUCUAACAUAAAAGGGGGCUGAUGUCGACAUUAAUGUUAGCUCUCAACUUGUUCAUGGGAUUGCCAAAAUGGUAUCGGGAAUUGGUGGCUCAUACCUUGUUGUCGGUACACAUGGUGUGAGAACUAAACUUAAGCUAGUAUUUGCAACUGGAAUCCACAAAACUAUUGGGAUUGAUCUGGUUGCGAUCAGUGUCAACAAUAUCGUUACUUCUGGAUUAUUUUUCCUCAAUGUUAUUAGGCAGUAUCAUUGCGUAUUGCUAUUAAAGAACAACCUAUUGUCGAUCGAUCUCUUCGAGAGGGAUUUAUUUGAAAAGCAAGAGGUAGAUUAUGGCUUGGGUUGAGUAUGGAGAGGCCAUCAAAAUUAUCCGAGUAUGGCUUGGGUACUCGCAGAUUAGACCCUCAAGUCCCAUUCUCAUUUCUCAGAUUGACCUCUCCAACACAUUCAAGAAGUUCAUGCAUUUUGGGUUCUCUGCUUCUAGUGGCUAGGGCUCUUCAAUUCAUGUUAUUGAUAAUUGGCGAUUAAAAACUUUUUGGUCUCUUCCCCUUGUGAUUACGAUGGAUACUCUAGAAGAAGGGGACUAUUUUGUUUCCUUUUUUGAGGACCAAGGCAUCACAAAUACAAGCAUCUCCGUAGAUGAACAUGCAAUAAGAAAGAAAGUAGAAGAGCCAACUUACAAAUUGGGAGGAUUAGCUGCAUUUCUUUUCUCUGCAUUUGCAAUUUUUGCUGUAGUCUUUUUCUUCUUGAUAAGGAGCAAAAGACUUCGCAUCAGGAAAAGCCAAGAAAGCCCAUUGUCGGGUAUGGCUAUUUUCUAGCUUCACUGUUCUAUAUUUAUGAGUUUUUUCCAACCUCAUGAUCCUAUUGUCAGGUAUGGCUAUUUUCCUAUAGAAAAUGAUUGUUCUCAACCUACUAGAGAAGGGGGUGUUGGAAAGGAAGUUUGAGUGUGGACUAGAAAAUGGGCUUGAUGUGAGAAUUUGGAUGGGUCUGAAAACUUUAUUGUCAAGGAGGACUCUGACUUUGUGGUUCGAUUUUGCAAAGAUGUAGAGAGUAGAUCACAUGCGGGUUGUGUGGAUUUUGCCUAAUUUGAUUUGUUCAGUUACUUGGUUGCUGAAAAAGGCAAGGGAAGAAUGGAUGCUAUGGUGAUUGGAGAGGUAUUAAAAAUGUAUGUAGUUAGGUGGUCGCUAGAAUCUAUUGAUACUUUGGGUUAUAUUGCUCAUUACCAAUGGAACAAAUCUUUGGUAGAAACCAUCAUCUGCUUAUUGCCAUCUGACAAAGGGAAGUGGAAAUGUGCAUAUAUGGUUGUCAAUUCUUGUGAGAAGGAGAAAGAGUUGAAGGGGAAACGGGAUACACUUAGUUUCACUCUAUAAAGCAAACCUUUCAUUGAAGAGUUCAACUAUGCCAUGCCAACAAAUUGUACAGGUGGAAACCUUGGUGUUGUUGCUAGGGAGCCUGAGUUAAAGAAAUGGAUUGCAAGGAAAAUAGUUUUUGACAAGUUGCAUGAUCCAAUUAAAAUUGCCAUGGUUGGAAAAUACACUAGCCUUUCAGGUUCUUAUCUCUUUGUUUUAAAGGCUCUUUUGCAUGCUUCUGUCACUUGCUGUCAGAAGCUUAUUGUAGAAUGGGUUGCAACUUGUGACCUUGAAGACAAGACUGGUGAAGAGACCCCUUAUGCUUAUAAAGUAGCAUGGAAUUGUUUAAAUGAUACUGAUGAUAAAGAGGUUGUUCUUUUUGGCAAGCUUGUGACAUGCAUUUGGUUGGAAAUGCAUUCACUAUUUUGGCCAGUGUUAGGGUAUCACGGUUUUCUGAAGCUUCCAUGCUGGCAUAUAUAUCUUUGGGUAAAAAGAUUAUACUUAUUUUUUACCCCGGGGGUUGGACAUUUGAUGUUAGUUUUGUGAGUGGAUGAUGGUAUUUUCAUUCUCUAUACUCUUCUCUUGGGUGUAUGUGACAAUUACACCAGCCCUCUAAACCUUGAGGGCAAGGUUCUUUAAGGGAAGGGAAUUGUUAUGAUUCAGUAGUGCAACGCCAUUUGCUGGAGAAGGAUUGGGCAUGUAACGCAGCGUUUGGAUUAAUGGGUGUGUGGAGUCGUUUGGUUGAUGAGCACUUGGCAUGCAAUGUAGCGUAUAAAGAUUGUUCUAGAGGCAGUAGUCAGUUAUCCACCAUUAAAUCCACCAUCAAUUUAUCCCCUUAAGCCAGCUCCACCCUAGCCUUUUUCCCUUUACCACCCUUCAACUUCCCCUCCACUACAACAUUAUCUACACUCCUCUUAAUAAUUGUAACAGAAGUAACAGAUGCAUGGGACUCACCAGGAAUUUUUGGCCCUCUAGCCCUUCUUUUCCAGCUGCCUCUCUUAUGCUUCUCUAGCCCAUUCAAGGUACACAAGACUUCCUUUUUUUGUUCUCCCAAUUCUUGCAAAAUAUCAUGAGUCAGGAUUAACUCCUCACCCCUUCAGCCGACCCCCCUUUCCACUAGCUUCUUUACUCCCUCCAUUGUUUCCACCAUCACCCUUUGGUCCUCAUCAAGAUCCUCCACCACCGCAGGGCUCCUCCUCAUCUCAUCAUCAUUCAUAGUCCAUUUCCCAUCCACAACAAUAGUUUCUUGAACCUGUUCCUGCACUCCACUCUUACUUUGCUGUUUUUUUACAUCCCCUUCCCUCCCCAUGUUCCUUCUACUACCUGCUAGUGCCCUCAUCCAUGAUCCAAAUUGCAUGGAUGCAUGGAUUCCUCCUUUCCAUGUUACCCUCCUAUUUCCCCACUCCUACAACCUUGUUUCCCAUGUGAAACAAAUCCGCAAUGAAAACAGAUCCUAUCUAAAUGGGAUCCAAAUAUUUUGGCCCUCAAAACUCACUGUUCUGCCUCUUGCUAGUGCCUUUCAUAAAUUACACUUGACUCUCACCCUAAGGCAUUUUCCCCAUGCUACAUCACCUUUAUCAGCAUCCACCUCGUUGACCGUUCCAAUUGAUCCCCCAAUCUUCUCACCCAUUUCUCUAUUCAUACCUCCUAGAGAGAGGUUAUACAUUUGGAUCCAAAAUCUUUCACUGGAGAAAUCCAGUAGGUGUGGUUGAGUACAUGUUCAGCACACAAAGAUAGUUAUCAUAUAACCAAGGGCAUCCAUCCAAAACUCUGUCCCUAUCACUUUGAUUCGCAAAUGUAAUUACAUAGCAAUUCCCUCCAAUUUCAUUGAAUUCCAUCUGUAUACUAACUCUCCACACUUUCUCCAUCAUCAAUUUUACAACUCCUUCCCAAUCACGCUAUCAGCACAGAUCUUCCCCACCAGGCUUCUCUUCCCUUUCAACUUUAAUUCAUCUAUUUCCUCUAUUUCAAGCACAAUCGGGCUCUUCUUCAUUCAGGUUCAGACGAUCCCAUCGCUCUUCUAAUCCUUCCAUUACCUCCACACCGACCACCGUAAUGAUCAGAAGCAUCUCCUUCCUACUUCCUGAGAAAUAGUAGCAGACUCACUACUUCACCUUUAUCGCCUACGAGGAACAAUAGAAAGAAGACUCAUUUUUAUUAUAUAUCUUGUAGGAAUUUAUUGAUGUCCUUGUAGAGCUUAACUAUGCUAUUCUUUAUUAAUGGAUGACUUGCGGUGUGUUAUCUCAAUUUAAGUAUAUAUAACUUUUGAUGAUUCUCAAAAAACAGAGCAAUACUUUAUUUUACCUAUAAAAAAAAUUGAUUAGCAAUACUUGUAGUAGUAUGAACCCAUGUUCUGUGUUGUAAAUUCUAGAGCUUCACCAUAUCAUCAUCCUUUCCUGAACAAGGCUUCAUCCUACACUAAAGCGAUUUUCUUUUCACGUGACUAUUUUAUGUGAGAAUUGACUCAAACUUCAUCAUGCUAUUUUCACGAUUCUUGAGAUAGGCUACAUUUUUUCCUAAUUGCUAGAGUUUCUUUAGCGCAUCAUUAAUUCUUGUACAUCAAUUCCGCCAUGAGAUAGGUUACCUAUAUUAUUAUGACCUGCCUAUUUUUUAGUUUAAUUUUUUUGGUUUUUUGAGGAGUUUGUGUAUACUUCCUUCAUGUACGGUUUUCCUCCCAAUCUAACACAGUGCUCUUAAUGCUCAAGUGUUUGCUAUUAUUAAGCACUGUAAGCUUGACUAGUCCUCUCAUUGGCAUUCUUAGUUUUAGAUUGAUGGAGGAAGAGGAAGAUGGAAUGCCACCCAAUUCGAUGUGGACUUCACAGUUGUAUGUUGGUCCUAUAAAUCCAUACUACCCGCCAUUAAUGAGACCUCAAAAUACUUAUCGAAAUCCAAACGUCUACCAUGCGGGUAGCCAGAAUGAUGUCUUUUACCUUUUUAAAAAAAGUUUGUUUGGCAUACUUUUGAAUCUAACAAAUUGCAUAAUUGCAACAUUCUUUUGGAUUAAAUAUGCCCUACAAUGCAUCAAGAAAUAUUGAAGACUUGAGGUGAGUUGAAGAGUCAUUCCAGGUAUAUUUACUUUAAUUUUUUUAACAAAUUCUUUUGUACGUCCAUUUUCUUUUUAACAACGUGCUUGAAUGCAGCAUCCUAUGAUGCCACUUUAUAUGCCCUACCUUCCGUUGAAUAAUCCAGAGGACUUGAGGCAUGUUGAAAUGACCUUCCAGGUAUAUUUAGACUUAGCUUUUUUUAAAAAUUUUGAACUAUGUCCAUUUUUUUUCCUAACAACUUCCUUGAAUGCAGCAUCCUAUGAUUUCAUCACCUUAUUUGCCCUACCCUCCGUUGAGUAAUCAAAGGGACUUGAGGCAAGAAGCGACUCCCGCAUCAAGUGUGUCAAGUAGUACGGAAUUUGAACAAAAUAUUGAAAGUACAUCACGAAUGACUGAUUAAAGUUGUCAUGCUAAUGGUGGUAUUACACUUUUUAAAAAAUUACUUUAAUGCUGCUAAUAUUGAAUUUAUGCUAAUCCAUUCAUGCCUUUGCAUUUUUAGAAACUGUAUCAAAUGUGAAGAGGCGGAGGCGGAGGCGGAGGCGGAGGGUACCGCUGUUGUCUCGGAUGAUGUUAUAUGAGUUGAAGCACCAAGAUUCGGUAUGGAAUUUAAGAGUGAUAAAGUGCUUAUGACCUAUUAUAAACGAUAUGCCAAGCAAGAGGAUUUUGGUGUAAGGACAUAGAGGACGAAGAGAGAUUAUGAUGGGAGGGUUGUAUGUGACAACUGGUUGUGCCCGUGGUGGCAAGUACCCACCUAACCACAAUAAUAUCUCGAAGCCAUAGCCAACAAUCAAAACGUAUUAUAAGGCGAAGGUAAAUGCGACCUUAAACAAGAAUGGCAUAUGGGUUUUGACGAUGGUUGAAAAUGUGCAUAACCAUAGUACUGUAAGCCCCAAGAAAUCUAGACUUUUGAGACCUCACAAGUUUGUAGAUGAAUACAGUCAAAGGAUGCUCGACUUGAAUGAUAGAGCAAGUGUUCAAGUGAAUAAGAAUUAUUUCAUACUUCUUGUUGACACGGGGGAGUUUGAGAAUCUUGAUUUUCAAGAGAAAGAUUGUUGAAAUUUUAUUGAUAAGGCCAAACAUUUAAGGUUUGAUAAAGGAGGUGGCAAAACAUUUAGUAAGUACUUUCAAAGAAUAAGAGAGAUGAAUGAUGGCUUCGUUUCUGUCAUGGACGUGGAUGAAAAUGUGUUCUGGGUUGAUGCAUAAAGUCGAGCGGCUUAUGAGUAUUUCGGAGAUGUUGUGACCUUCGAUACGACAUACCUAACAAAUAGGUACGAGAUGCCUUUUGCUCUCUUUGUUGAUAUUAACCAUCAUGGGUAAUCUAUACUAUUAGAGGAGGGGUUGCUGCCAAGCAAAACACAUACUUUUAUUUGGUUGUUCCAAGUGUGGUUAAAUUGCAUGAAUGGUCGAGUGCCCAAAGCCAUCAAAUGGACCAAGACCAAGUAAUGAAGAGUGCUAUUGCCACUAUAUUUCCAGAAACUCGUCAUAGAUAUUAUCAAUGACAUAUAAGGCACAAACUUCUAGAGAAGUUAGGAUCUCUCUUCCAAUUCAAUGCAAAAUUGAAGACUUCCAUACAGACUGUAUUAUAUGAUUCAUAGACUUUCAUAGAAUUUGAGGACAGGUGGGGGCAACUACUUGAGAAGUACGAUCUUGGAGGUAAUGCAUGGCAUUAGUCCUUAUACAAUGAAAGGUCUUUUUAGGUUCCAGUGUAUUUUGGACUGGUAUGAGCAUGACAUCGUGGUCGAAAAGCAUGAAUGCUUUCUUUAACGAGUAUGUCCAUUUUGGUAUGACUUUGAAGGAAUUUUUCAACCAAUUUAAUAAUACUCUAAGGAAGAAGGUGGAGGUAGAGACAAAGGCUAAUUUCAAUUCCUGCAACAAAAUAAUUCUCUGCAUGUCCCCUUUUGGCAUUAAGAAGCAAUUUCAAAAGUCACAAGUGCAAAGUUUAAAGAGGUCCAAAGAGAGCUGUUAGACCUAAUGUGUUGUAAUUGCACACUUAUAAGCACACAAUGGUGCAUUUCAACCUUUGAUGUCUUGAAUGAAAUAUCUACUGAUGACUGCACCAAAACAGUCAACUACUUAGUUUACUAUAGUGAAAAGGAGUGCAAGUUAAAAUGCACAUGUGUAUUGUUUGAAACGAGGGGGAUUCUAUUUAGGCAUGCACUUAGAGUUUGUCAACUGAAGAAGAUUAAUGUGCUGCUAGAUAUAUAUAUGUCUUAAAUCGUUGGAGAAGGACAUAAAAAGGGGAUACACAUUGAUCAAAAGUAAUUAUGAUGACUUGCAGGGCAGUAUAAAUGCACGAAGGUAAGGGGUUGUGGUUAAAAGAUGUUUGAAAUUAGCAACGAAGAUAUCCCCAAGUGAUGACCAUGUCAAUGCAUUCCUGCGCUAUGUCGAUGACUUUGAGACAAAAUGUGAAGGUAUAAAACUGAAGUCAAAAUCAAAAUCAACGAAUGCUAGACCAAAGGAGGUUGGGGAUAAGGGUAAGAAGAUAUCGAGCCCCCAUGUUGUUCGAGUGAAAGGGAGACCUCCAAUUGAGAGAAAGGUUCCGCCCGUGGAGAAGAUAGCAACGAAGAGAAAGAAGAAGCCGGUAAUUACUUUUUGCAAGUUAAUAGUCAAUAUUCCUUUUACACUAAUAUGCUUUUUUUUUGGGGGGGGGGGGGGGGGGAUUUAGGCUUGCAGGAAAAUAUUUGAUGAGGAUUCACAAUUGGGUGAUAACCUGGGAUCUAGACUUGGCACUAUUGAUGAGGUGGUUGGCGUUAGAACCCAAAACAACAUUGUCACACAAUCGAGGCCAUCAGGAAAUGAGGAGGUCUUUAGAUCUUGUUAUUUGGUUAACUAUUUUUUUCCAAUAAAUAAUGCCUAUUAUUAAAUGUGUUUUGUUUUCUUUCAUAUAUGUGAGCAUAUUGAUGCUGUGUAACUCCAUGGAGAUUUUUGCAAAGUCUUACUUAGUAUGCCUGAGGUGCAUGGGUGGGUGGCCCUAUAAGGGGAGUUUGUAAUGCUUUUUAUUUUAUUAGACAGUUGUGAAGAUGCACCUGAUGCUGAAUAUGUAGAUUGUAAACUAGGGGCUUUGUGUGUAUCCAGUUUAUGUGUUCUGGAGAUGUUGUGUUUUGAUUUUUGUCCCUUCUGGAAAGGUUGUGGAGAUAUUGUGGUGUUGUAUGCAGACUAAGGGCGUUAGUAGCAUGAUCCAUAUAUACCUUGUGUAUAUACUGAUAUGUACUUGGAUUACUAUACUAUGAUGAAUAUAGCAACUUUAUAUGAAGUUCAAGUAAUUUGGAUGUUGUGUUUAA